rnacentral:tRNA from 1 species
GUCCGCGUGGCCUAAUGGAUAAGGCGUCUGACUUCGAAUCAGAAGAUUGCAGGUUCGAAUCCUGUCUCGCGGACG